AGUAACACAUUACUAAAUAUUUACAUUGUAAUGAUACAGAGAAGAUUAACAUGGCCCCUUCACAAGGAUGACAUGGAAAUUCAUGCAGCAUUCCACAUGUUU